rnacentral:rRNA from 1 species
AGCUCCAAUAGCGUAUAUUUAAGUUGUUGCAGUUAGAAAAGGCUCGUAGUUGGAUUUCUGGAGGUGGCGACAGGCGCGUGGUCAAGGCCACGCCCAGUCUACUCCUUCAUCCUUCUGUUAACGAUGCUCGGCAUUCAGUUGUCGACUUCGGGCUCAGAUACUUUACCAUUUUAUUUUACUUUGAGCAAAUUAGAGUGUUUCAGGCAGGCGUGCGCCGGAAUACAUUAGCAUGGAAUAAUCGAACAGGACCGUGUUCCUUUUGUUGGUUUCUAAGGGCAUGGUAAUGAUUAAUAGGGAUAGUAUUUUUAAAAGGGGUGGCAUUAGUAUUUAAGAUUCAGAGGUGAAAUUCUUUGACAUAAUUAAAGACUAACUUAUGCGAAAGCAUUUGUCAAGAAUGUUU